ACUGGGCGUUAAGUUGCAGGGUAUAGACCCGAAACCCGGUGAUCUAGCCAUGGGCAGGUUGAAGGUUGGGUAACACUAACUGGAGGACCGAACCGACUAAUGUUGAAAAAUUAGCGGAUGACUUGUGGCUGGGGGUGAAAGGCCAAUCAAACCGGGAGAUAGCUGGUUCUCCCCGAAAGCUAUUUAGGUAGCGCCUCGUGAAUUCAUCUCCGGGGGUAGAGCACUGUUUCGGCAAGGGGGUCAUCCCGACUUACCAACCCGAUGCAAACUGCGAAUACCGGAGAAUGUUAUCACGGGAGACACACGGCGGGUGCUAACGUCCGUCGUGAAGAGGGAAACAACCCAGACCGCCAGCUAAGGUCCCAAAGUCAUGGUUAAGUGGGAAACGAUGUGGGAAGGCCCAGACAGCCAGGAUGUUGGCUUAGAAGCAGCCAUCAUUUAAAGAAAGCGUAAUAGCUCACUGGUCGAGUCGGCCUGCGCGGAAGAUGUAACGGGGCUAAACCAUGCACCGAAGCUGCGGCAGCGACGCUGAUGCGUUGUUGGGUAGGGGAGCGUUCUGUAAGCCUGUGAAGGUGUGCUGUGAGGCAUGCUGGAGGUAUCAGAAGUGCGAAUGCUGACAUAAGUAACGAUAAAGCGGGUGAAAAGCCCGCUCGCCGGAAGACCAAGGGUUCCUGUCCAACGUUAAUCGGGGCAGGGUGAGUCGACCCCUAAGGCGAGGCCGAAAGGCGUAGUCGAUGGGAAACAGGUUAAUAUUCCUGUACUUGGUGUUACUGCGAAGGGGGGACGGAGAAGGCUAUGUUGGCCGGGCGACGGUUGUCCCGGUUUAAGCGUGUAGGCUGGUUUUCCAGGCAAAUCCGGAAAAUCAAGGCUGAGGCGUGAUGACGAGGCACUACGGUGCUGAAGCAACAAAUGCCCUGCUUCCAGGAAAAGCCUCUAAGCAUCAGGUAACAUCAAAUCGUACCCCAAACCGACACAGGUGGUCAGGUAGAGAAUACCAAGGCGCUUGAGAGAACUCGGGUGAAGGAACUAGGCAAAAUGGUGCCGUAACUUCGGGAGAAGGCACGCUGAUAUGUAGGUGAAGCGACUUGCUCGUGGAGCUGAAAUCAGUCGAAGAUACCAGCUGGCUGCAACUGUUUAUUAAAAACACAGCACUGUGCAAACACGAAAGUGGACGUAUACGGUGUGACGCCUGCCCGGUGCCGGAAGGUUAAUUGAUGGGGUCAGCGCAAGCGAAGCUCUUGAUCGAAGCCCCGGUAAACGGCGGCCGUAACUAUAACGGUCCUAAGGUAGCGAAAUUCCUUGUCGGGUAAGUUCCGACCUGCACGAAUGGCGUAAUGAUGGCCAGGCUGUCUCCACCCGAGACUCAGUGAAAUUGAACUCGCUGUGAAGAUGCAGUGUACCCGCGGCAAGACGGAAAGACCCCGUGAACCUUUACUAUAGCUUGACACUGAACAUUGAGCCUUGAUGUGUAGGAUAGGUGGGAGGCUUUGAAGUGUGGACGCCAGUCUGCAUGGAGCCGGCCUUGAAAUACCACCCUUUAAUGUUUGAUGUUCUAACGUUGACCCGUGAUCCGGGUUGCGGACAGUGUCUGGUGGGUAGUUUGACUGGGGCGGUCUCCUCCUAAAGAGUAACGGAGGAGCACGAAGGUUGGCUAAUCCUGGUCGGACAUCAGGAGGUUAGUGCAAUGGCAUAAGCCAGCUUGACUGCGAGCGUGACGGCGCGAGCAGGUGCGAAAGCAGGUCAUAGUGAUCCGGUGGUUCUGAAUGGAAGGGCCAUCGCUCAACGGAUAAAAGGUACUCCGGGGAUAACAGGCUGAUACCGCCCAAGAGUUCAUAUCGACGGCGGUGUUUGGCACCUCGAUGUCGGCUCAUCACAUCCUGGGGCUGAAGUAGGUCCCAAGGGUAUGGCUGUUCGCCAUUUAAAGUGGUACGCGAGCUGGGUUUAGAACGUCGUGAGACAGUUCGGUCCCUAUCUGCCGUGGGCGCUGGAGAACUGAGGGGGGCUGCUCCUAGUACGAGAGGACCGGAGUGGACGCAUCACUGGUGUUCGGGUUGUCAUGCCAAUGGCACUGCCCGGUAGCUAAAUGCGGAAGAGAUAAGUGCUGAAAGCAUCUAAGCACGAAACUUGCCCCGAGAUGAGUUCUCCCUGACUCCUUGAGAGUCCUGAAGGAACGUUGAAGACGACGACGUUGAUAGGCCGGGUGUGUAAGCGCAGCGAUGCGUUGAGCUAACCGGUACUAAUGAACCGUGAGG
rnacentral:rRNA from 1 species